UGAAGGAACGCGCAGGUAUCGCGACCAAGCACUACUUGUGAAAGCCGCUGAACACGGGAUGCAGCGUCACUGAAAGUAAAACUUGGCCAAAGUGUUUAUACAAGGAUACAAGGGUCUCUCAGCAACUCAACCAGAAUGAAUCGGAUGUCGCAGGACUGCAAGGUGAAGACUGCGCCGGAAUACUGAUACGGGGACCAAGCCUACAUUUUGUCCCAUCCAAUCGCGUUUGCUCUUUUGGCGAGUCAGAGGUACCCGUUGCCGACAUGGGAGGGCCGACUGACGGCAUCACUGACGACAACAAAGGACUGCAAGGUGAAGACUGCGCCGGAAUACUGAUACGGGGACCAAGCCUACAUUUUGUCCCAUCCAAUUGCGUUUGCUCUUUUGGCGAGGCAUAGAUUUGCUGUACGUGUGGCACGAGGCGACUGGCCUGCUGGCGGGAUACCAUCCUGAACACGCCUGUGCC
rnacentral:lncRNA from 1 species